rnacentral:tRNA from 1 species
GGGCGAGUGGUGGAAUGGUAUACACGACAGACUUAAAAUCUGUUGAGACUUGGUCUCGUGAGGGUUCAAGUCCCUCCUCGCCCACCA